rnacentral:rRNA from 1 species
UACGGAGGGGGCUAGCGUUGUUCGGAAUUACUGGGCGUAAAGCGCACGUAGGCGGGUUCAUAAGUCAGGGGUGAAAUCCCGAGGCUCAACCUCGGAACUGCCUUUGAUACUGUGGAUCUUGAGUCCGGAAGAGGUGAGUGGAACUGCGAGUGUAGAGGUGAAAUUCGUAGAUAUUCGCAAGAACACCGGUGGCGAAGGCGGCUCACUGGUCCGGAACUGACGCUGAGGCACGACAGCGUGGGGAGCAAACAGG